CUGUAUUUAUAGCUCAGUGUCUGUAACAGAUUGACAAUUUGUGAAUUCGAGCUGUUUAGUGUUUACAUUUGACCACGGUUUGACAGGCUGUGUACUGUGUUGAUAUGAGUUGGGGCAAUUUAUUUGGAUUUUCUGGAUCAAAAGACAAGUCUGUACCUGUUUUAAACGCUCUAGAACAGCAAAGAAUGAAGCAAAUUGAAAGUUUAAGAACCUUUCAUCCAAG